UGGUGGGUAGUUUGACUGGGGCGGUCUCCUCCUAAAGAGUAACGGAGGAGCACGAAGGUUGGCUAAUCCUGGUCGGACAUCAGGAGGUUAGUGCAAUGGCAUAAGCCAGCUUGACUGCGAGCGUGACGGCGCGAGCAGGUGCGAAAGCAGGUCAUAGUGAUCCGGUGGUUCUGAAUGGAAGGGCCAUCGCUCAACGGAUAAAAGGUACUCCGGGGAUAACAGGCUGAUACCGCCCAAGAGUUCAUAUCGACGGCGGUGUUUGGCACCUCGAUGUCGGCUCAUCACAUCCUGGGGCUGAAGUAGGUCCCAAGGGUAUGGCUGUUCGCCAUUUAAAGUGGUACGCGAGCUGGGUUUAGAACGUCGUGAGACAGUUCGGUCCCUAUCUGCCGUGGGCGCUGGAGAACUGAGGGGGGCUGCUCCUAGUACGAGAGGACCGGAGUGGACGCAUCACUGGUGUUCGGGUUGUCAUGCCAAUGGCACUGCCCGGUAGCUAAAUGCGGAAGAGAUAAGUGCUGAAAGCAUCUAAGCACGAAACUUGCCCCGAGAUGAGUUCUCCCUGACUCCUUGAGAGUCCUGAAGGAACGUUGAAGACGACGACGUUGAUAGGCCGGGUGUGUAAGCGCAGCGAUGC
rnacentral:rRNA from 1 species